AGGGUCCCCCUGGUGGCCCAGUGCUCCUAGGGCUGUGCCAGGGACCCAGGAAGAUGCAGUGGGAAGAUGCAGGCAGGAGGGCGUUCUAGAAUCCUUGGAGCAGUGACUGGGGCUUUGUGCAGGAGUGUUCCUUCUCUUUUCCACGGAUCCUAACAAAACGUCUGAGCACUAAAUCUGAAACUCUUUCUCUAGUAAAGCCACGUGGUGCCUGCGUCUAGCACCCACGAGGGAAGAGCCGGAAACAUUAUUCCCACGCCAGCCCUGCGGGCUUCUGGCUACUUGUGCUCGGAUGUAAUGUUCACAUUGCGUUUUCUGUUCCUGCCACAUUUAACACUUCAGCCUGGAUGCAGCUUUAUCACUGCUUUGGGAAUUUUCUACAACUUAUUUAUGAGUAUUAAAAUUCUGGAGUCUUCCCCCACCAGGAUGGCAGCUCCAGAAGAAGCCUGCAUGGUAGUCCAGGAACCUCCAGGGCUGGCCGCUGGAUGUACCCAGGCUGUUUUGAAAUGUGCUAACAGGGCCCAGCUUAGCCAGCACUGGACUCAGGGAGGCGGGAGGCAAGGUCACUGCGGGUCACACUCGCCACGGAAGAAGCGGGCCUGGGCGGAAGGGAGCUGAGUGGUGGCCAUCAGCAUCUCAGGUGUGGGGGGCAGUGCAACUGGGAUCCAGCGUGUUCCGAGGCCUGUUGGCCUUUCCCAGGUGUUUGCUGAGACCCACCUGUGUGUUUUGCGCUUCCUGAUCCAGGGGUUGGAGCUGGCAGGGGUGGUGACAGAGGCAGGAGGAGGGUAAAGCAGGCCCUGCUCUGCCAUAGUGCAGGGUAGAGAGAAAGGGAUGCAGCGACCAUUAUAGGAGGAUGUUUGACAAAUGGCUGAACUCAGAAUGAGCUCUGAACAAGGAAUGGCGAGGUCUUUGGGGGCUGAGGUAGUGAAGGCGAUCUUUUACUCUGGGUGGUGGUUGCAUUGAGCUGCAGGCUUCCGCAGGUUUGGCAAACAGGAGGGAGGGACAGCCAGGGGUUACUAGUUCUGUCCUUGGGUCUGUCCCUUUAGGGGUUUUGCUGUGUCCUGGGCUCCUUUCCCACCCAGGACCCCCGCUGUGUGGUUUGGACUUCUUUGGACCCAUGGUAUUAAAUUUAAUACCAUGGACCCCCAGUGUCCCUGAAGUAGGGUGGCUCGGAAAUUGCCUCUUCUUCCUUUAGGGCUGUCACAGGAUUUUGACAGGAUCCAGCGGGCAUGGGGUAGCCAGUAAGAGUUCCCCUGUCUCUGAAGCACUGGAAACAAGGGCCCCAUAGUCAGAUGAAUGGCCCCCUCCUUCCCUGUGGUGACCAGUCGGCUGGGAAUCCAAAGAAAAUUCAAGGAUCCCCACCCCUGGGGAAAAGAGCGGGGGUCAGCUCAUUAAUAAUUGCCCUCAUUAUUCUAAUGCAGGCCUGCAGUGGCCAGCAUUGCCCUAGAGAAGGCUUAUUUCAGUCACUCAGCAGAUAACAAGGCAUCUGUUAGAAACUUAUUUAUUCCUUGCCUGUUUACUCUUCAUCUGGUGAAUUUGUAUCAAAUGUCUGCUUUCUGCUAGGCCCUAGUGCUCCAGCCUAGAGCAGGGGAUGGCAGACUUUUUCUGUAGAGUAAAUAUUUUAGGCUUUGAGGGCCAUGUUGUCUCUGUUGCAGCUACCCAACUCUUGUAAGGCCAAAGCAACCGUAAGCAAUACAUAAGCCCAUGGGUGUAGCUUCGUUCCAGUACAACUUUAUUGACAGGCAUUGGGCUAGAUUGGCCCAGAGGCCACAGAUAGCUGCUCCCCGCCCCCGGACUGGAAACACAGAAUUAAACAAAAGUAGACAUGGUCUCUGUCUGUAUGGAGCUUACACUGUAGGCAAGGAAGACAGGAAUUAAUCAUAUAAUCGCAAACAUAAAUUAUAAUUAGAACACGGGUGCUUGAAGGAGAGAGAAGCUCUCAUAGCUCUAGAAAUGGGGGUGUGAUAUAGUCUCAGGUCAAGUCAGGCUUCCCUCAAGAGUUGAUGCCUGAGUUGGGCUCUGAAUCAGCAUUAACCAGGUGAAGAGAGGGAGGAAACAGUGCAUGGAAGGGCCCUGUGACAGGAGUAUGGAACAUUCUGGAAACUGAAAAAAGGCCAGUGUGGAGGAGUGUAGAAGAGGACAGAGAGGAGGAGUAAGAUGAGGCAGGAUGGGAAGUAGUAAUCAGUCCACGCACAGCCUUGGGGGGCGGCUUAAAGCAGGGGAGUAACAGGAUCCGAUUUGCAUUUUGAGGAAAACCUCUUUGGCUGCAACAUGAGAACAGAUCGGAGAAAAGCAAGUGAAGAUUCAGGGGAACCGAGUGAAAGGACCGUUGCGAGAGAGAGAAGUGGCAAUGGGGGUAAAGAGAAGUAGAUGAAGAUAAAGAUUUCAGAAGGGGUGUUGAUGGUGUGGGGAUGGAGGGAGAGGCUCCUAGGUGUCAGGUUUGUACAGUCGGAUGGUUAGCGGUGCUGUCUGUCUACUGAGACCAGAGCACUGGGAAAGUCCCUCAUGCUUUGUUUUGUUUGGGUCAGAGGAAGGGGCCUGGCAGGUUGAGUUGCCAUUGAGACAUCAAAUUAGAGAUGUCGGAUAAGCAGGUGAGAUGUACAGAUCUGGAGCUCAGAAGAAAGGUAGGGGCUGGAAAUCAUAUGUUUUACGGAAUCAUCAGCACAUGGAGGGUAAUCGACGCCCUGAGCAUGGGUUAGACAAGCUGGGGCAAGAGAAGAGAGUAAAGC
rnacentral:lncRNA from 1 species